rnacentral:lncRNA from 10 species
UUUUGACCAUGGCAACUGAUGUCUGUGAUUUUUUUUGCCUCCACGGCUUUUAAACAGUUAACAUCACCUGCUGCUGUUUGUGAUGAAACCCCACAGGAAAUGAAUGCCAAAGGUACGAGAUGAAAGAGAAAGUAAUUUUCCGGGAGGGGAGGAACAAGGAUAGGAAGAAAAUAUGAUAACAGAAGCUCAUCAGCAGACUAUUCAUGAUAAGAAGAUAUCAUUUGGCUGAAAGAAUGAAGAGAAAAAUAGAUGGACUCUAUGGUUUAGGUGACUGCAAAUGGAAUACCUUUCACCUCUAAUUGACUGACUGAAAUGGAGGCAGUCUCCAUAGAGACUGAAAUUCUUCCCUGAGAGAUGGCAGUUAGGUAGAGAGACUGCAGAUGGAGGGUUGCAUCUCCAUUCCUAAGAGAGGGGAAGUAUGACUUUAGGACUAGAUUCACUGGUUUCCAUAGCUGAUCUGAGCUGUUAUCAGUCCCCCGUAUUUUAAAAUAUAGCGCUUCUGAAAGAAUGGUGAUUUAAAGAAAUAUAACUAAUUAUGGUAAGACAUUAAGAAAUGGGGAAGUGUUUGAGUCAAUCUUGUGCUUAAACUACUGCUAAAGCUAUAAAGCUUCAUGUUUUCUGUAUGAUUAUGCUCUGAAAUCCUGUAAUUAUAUUGUCAUAAAUAAAUGAUAUGAUUGAAAGAAUCAAGUACAGUGCCUUUCAGAUAUAGGCUAAAUUUUAAUAAUACAAUAAAACAUUUUAAUAAUCAAAUAGAAAAGGAGGCCUUUUGUUAACCACUGUCUUCCUAUAGCAUAUUCCUUUAGCUUGUGUCCACCAUCCCAUUUUCUACUGUUUUUUCACCUACCUCGUUGACUACUUGUCACCUUUUAUAUUUCUUUUCCGAACUGCUCUUGCUAAUCUAUGUGGAUUAUAAGUGUUAUGUUUCAUCAGGAUUGCCUUCAGGCCAUUAUCUUAUCUGCAAUGAACUUCCUUCUAAACUGCCUUCUGUUUCCCUCAGACUCCCAUCUAUAGACUCUCCCAUCUUCUACAGAGAGGGGGAUCUUUUUCUCUAAACAUAAAUGGGAUGAUGAAGUCCUUUCAUGGCUUUCUGUUGCAGAGAGAAUAAAAUUCAGAACUCUGCAAGGUUCUGCAUUAAGUGCUCCUUAUUCUCUGUAACUGCCCAACCCUUUUCUCUCUAGUCAGUUUGCUUCAGCCAUAGUUUUUCUCAAUUCCUCAAAAAUGCUGAAUCUAUUGCCUGUAGUUACAUCCUUUCUACAGCUCUUCAGAUGACUGUCUUUCUCUCUUCCUUUGGUCUGAUUUUAAAUGCAAUUACUCCAAAGAAAUAUUUCCAGAUGAUCCACUUGAAAUAAAUUCCCCAAUAUUAUUCUCAAUAUUAACUCUCAGUAUGCCUCCUUCAAAUACAUAGUCUACUCUGUAUUUAUUUUCUUGAUUGGGCUAUUUGCUUACACUUUUUCUUUCUUUAACACUAGAAUACAAGCUCCAUGAAGCCCAGGACUUUCUGCAUUCCCUGCCACUGAAUCAUCACAGCUAAUACUCUGCUGAAUAAAUAUUUGUUAUUGGAUUAUAAUUUGACACAUCAAUAUUUUUAUGAUUUUUUAAAAUCGAUCUUACCUCGUUCCCUCAAGUUUUGCAUGAUUGGAAGUUUGUUGAGACGUUUCAAACCACAGCCUUCUUUCUAUUUUCCUCCAAAACAUUUAUCACAAUCUAGUGUAGAACACAGUUAAAUUAGUUAUUUGUUUAUUGUCUCUACACUCUGUAAACUUCAUGCAACAUUUUAAGACUUUUCAUUCGAUUGCCAUUGUUUAUUGUUUCUCCACUGAUCUAGCCUCAGUUCAUGAUAAAUUUUCACUGAAUAUUUGAUUGAUGUUUCAGGUUGAGCGUAGAGAAGGAUUUCCUGGUCAAACGAUUUUGUGAAACAAGACAUCCUAUACUAUUAUCUUAAACAUUUACACCAUUCAUACAAUAUAAAAAGUUCCUGAUAAAUGCUUCCAUUAUAAAAUAUGUUAACUUUGUUUAACUUAGUCUUUUAUCAGUGUAUUUACUCAUAGAGCUGCUAAUAACAUCUAGUAGAACUAAUGUCCUAGGUGUCACAUUUUUGGUAGAAAAAGUUUUUCCAUCACCUUGUAGCAAGCAGGGCAAGGCAUUUAUUCAUUUCACAACCCAGAGAAGGGUCCUAUUUAUUUAUGGUGUGGCUAAUGAGUUUCACUUCAUUAAGCGAAACUCAGCCAUAGUUACUGGAAUAGUGGAGAAAAAACUUCUGCUAGUUUCAAUCGCUCCAUUCUUCUUUGAAUGCAAAUCAUUGUUCAUAUAACAACAGUGACCUUCAUAUGGCAGCAGUGAUCUUCCUGGGAAACAAUUACAAUUAUGCCACUGCUUCACUUAACAUCUUUAAUGGCCGUCUCUUCACCAACGUUUCUCAUUUUUGCCUUUGGAGUGCAUUUUAAAAUGUUAUAACUAUACAAAGCCCACAGUUUCUUACAGGUCACAUCCUUAGCCCUACCCAAUUGUCAAAACAAAGGAUACAUUUUUAAGACCCUGAACUCUUUGUUGCUUUCAUCUGGAACACCUCUUUUGGCCAUCCCUUCCACCCUCCACCACACAAGUGCACUGGCUAACCCAGUCUUAUCUGACUGGUUAGCCCCUACUCAUAACUCAUGUUACAGCUUAGCCAGCCCUUCCAAGGUUCUGUUGAGUUUCCUUAUGUAUUCCAUACUCUUGACUUUAUCAUAAGUCUUCACCAGUCAUUAUAAUCUCUUGAAAGGUAACAAAAUAAUUCCUUUUUCUUUACCACAUUUCCAGUGUUUGUUUCAGUACAUGGCACAUAGUAAGCACUGGAGAGAUUAUGGAAGGAUAAUGAAAGAUAAGCCAUGUAUCUGUGACUGCCUCUUGGAGACAUAGACCUUAUGCAGCUGUGUAUUUGAUCUCGUCAGUGUUUUCUGUUUUUCUUUUGAGAGUUUUAAGUAUAUUCCUAGCUUUCAAAUUAGCUAAUGUAAAGGUUUUAUCCAUAUUAACUUUUAGCACUUCUUUUUUAUGUCUCUAUUUUCUCAGUGAUUUUUUGAGCAAUCUGUUGACAAGGCAUUUUAUUUGGAAUAGUAUGAACUUCUUAGAAAACACUAAUAUCUAUAGAGAUAAAAAUUUUUCUCCCUACAAUUAUACAUUGCUGCUCACUGGUGAAAACUGUUGCUUGAACAAGCCACAUGUUACAAGCUCCUAACACCAGCCACCCAACUGUACAACAGUGAGUUAUUCACAUCAACUACCUAACAGUAUUUACAACAAUGAUAUUUAUAUUAUGUAUAGUAUUUAUAUCAUAUUAAUUUUAAAAAUAAAACUUAUUUUGUAAAUUUUCUAUGUCAAAUAUUCUUUUACAUUAUAGCAUUUGAUUUUUUUUACAACUCUAUAAUGUAGGCAUUAAUAUUAUCACCCCUUCAUUCUUGGAACUAAUAAUCAUAGGUAUUGUUCUGAAUACGACUAUUGAGUAUCUUCUUCUUGAAAUUAUGGGUCUGUAUUUAUUUUUCUUUGUAUGGUCAUCACUUGAGUCAGUGCCAAGAAGCUCCCUAAAUGCAUCCAAGAUUAGAACUGGAGCUCAAAAUUUCCAUCUGAAAAGUUCUAUGUUUUGUUGUUUUACUUUAUCAGUCUAUAUCAAACUCAGCCAUCUUGAAGAAAAUAUGAGGCAAGAGUUCUCAUCAACAAAUAUUGUAAAAGGUACCUUUACAUAUUACUGAGGCAAAUCACUGUACUCAGCUUCAACUUCAUACUUACUUACACAAAAAUAUAUUCCACAAAUACUGGCACCUCCCAAAGUACCUCUCCCUACUCCUAUCACAUAAGGAUAAGAUCUCUGGGAAAUAGAUUGUGAGAUAGUGAGCUUUCUUCAAUUUUAAAAACUCACUAGAUGCUCUCUAUGAAUUGACAUGUGUAAGGGAAUGAAGGAAGCAGGACUGGGCAGAGGGAAAGGUGAGCUGCAUUGUAGUUGCAACAAACACCUUGUCGAUCAAAAAGCCAUCACACCUUCUAAAACUGAGAUGCAAUCUCAGAGCUGUCUCAGUUAAAGGAAGGGAGCUGAUAUGGUUUGGCUCUGUGUCCCCACACUAAUCUCAUGUUGAAUUGUAAUCUUCAGUGCUGUGGAGGGAUCUGGUAGGAGGUGACUAGAUCAUGGGGACAGAUUUCCCUCUUCCUGUUCUCACGAUAGUGAGUGAGUUCUCAUGAGAUCUGGUUGUUUAAAAGCACACAGCAUAUCCCCCUUUGUUCUCUCUCUCUCCUGCUCUGCUAUAUGAAGUUUGUGCCUGCUUCCACUUCACCUUCCUUCAUGAUUGUAACUUUUCUGAGGUCUCCCCAGCCAUGCCUCAUGUACAGCCUGUGGAACUGUGAGUCAUUAAACCUCUUUUCUCCAUAAAUAACCUAGUAUCAUGUAGGUCUUUACAGCAAUGAUAGAAUGGACUUAUACAGAAAAUUGGUACCAGAGAAGUGGGGCAUUGGUAUAAAGAUACCUGAAAAUGUGGACAUGACUUUGGAACUUUGGUAAUGGGCAGUGGUUGGAAUAGUUUGGAGUGCUCAAAAGAAGAUGGAAACAUGAGGGAAAGUUUGGAAUUUCCCAAAGACUUGUUGAAUGCUUGUGACUAAAAUGCUGAUAGUGACAUGGACAGUGAAGUUCAGGCUGAGGUGGUCUCUGAUGGAGAUGAGUAACUUUUUGAGAACUGGAGUAAGGGUCACUCUUGCUAUGGUUUAGCAAAGAUAUUGGUGGCAUUGUGCCCCUGCUCUAGAGAUCUGUGGAAUGGUGAACCUGAGAGAUAUAAUAUAGGGUAUCUGAUGGAAGAAAUUUCUAAGUAGCAAAGCAUAUGAGAUAUGACCUGGCUGCUUCUAAAAGCCUAUGCUCAUCUGCAUAAACAAAGAAAUGGCCUGAAACUAGAACUUAUGUUUAAAAGGGAAUCAUAACAUAAAAGUUUGGAAAAUUCACAGCCUAAUCAUGUGGUAGAAAAAAAAAAUCAUAUUCUAGGGAGAAAUUCAAGGCUGCAGAAAUUUGAAUAAAUAAAGAGCCAAAUGUUAAUAGCCAAGACAAUGGACAUUUAGUUAAUGCUGGAAUGAGUUAAGACUUUGGGGCACUGUUGGGAAGGCAUGAUUGGUUUUGAGAUAUGAGAAGGACAUGAGAUUUGGGAGAGGCCAGGGGCAGAAUGAUAUGGUUUGGCUGUGUGUCACCAACCAAAUCUCACGUUGAAUUGUAAUCCCCAGUGUUGGAAGAGGGACCUCCUAGGAGGUAACUGGAUUAUGGGGUGGAUUUCCCCCUUGCUGUUCUCCUGACUGUGAGUCAGUUCUCAUGAGAUCUGGUUGUUUUAAAUGUGUAGCAUUUCACCCUUUCUCUCUCUCUCUCUCUCUCACUCUCUCUCUCUCACACACACACUCUCUCUCACUCUCACUCUCUCUCUCUCUCUAUCACACACACACACACACACACACACACACACACACACACACUCUCUCUCUCUCUCUCUCUCCUGUUCUGCUAUGUGAAGAGUAUGCCUGCUUCACCUUCAACUUCUGCCAUGAUUGAAGUUUUCCUGAGGCUUCCCUAGCCAUGCCUUUUGUACAGCCUGUGAAACUGGGAGUCAAUUAAACCUCUUUUCUCCAUAAAUUACCCAGUCUCAGGUAUGUUUUUAUAGCAGUGUGAGAACAGACUAGUGCAGGAGCCAAGCCGUUGUACACACAUUUCUACCAGUCACUGUUUACAAGCUGCCUCUGAAGAAGGACCAUAACCUUGGGCUUGGAAGUUCUGUUUUUUGAAAGCAAUUCCUUGAGAAAGGAGUUAGCUAUGAGCCAUCAGCAGCCAGGCAGCUGAGGGAAUGAGCUCCUCAAUCCCAAAGAGGAGUUCUGAGUAGCCAACUAUAGUUUCCGAUUAAUCUACAUAUUUAAUGGACACUAAAUGUGAUAUAAUGUCAAGUAGCACUUUUUUAAAAAUAUUUUUUAAAAUAGCGAAGUUAACUUUAUUUCAG